CACCGCGGUUAUACGAAAGGCCCAAGUUGAAAAACAUUCGGCGUAAAGGGUGGCUAAGGACUAUUUUAUACUAGAGCUGAAUUUCUUCAAAGCUGUUAUACGCUCAUGAAAACCGGAAAAUCAACCACGAAAGUGGCUCUAAUUACACCUGACACCACGAAAGCUAUGACA
rnacentral:rRNA from 2 species